GAGAAGCUUGCUUCUCUGAUGGUUAGCGGCGGACGGGUGAGUAACACGUAGGCAACCUGCCCUCAAGCUUGGGACAACUACCGGAAACGGUAGCUAAUACCGAAUAGUUGUUUUCUUCUCCUGAAGAGAACUGGAAAGACGGAGCAAUCUGUCACUUGGGGAUGGGCCUGCGGCGCAUUAGCUAGUUGGUGGGGUAACGGCUCACCAAGGCGACGAUGCGUAGCCGACCUGAGAGGGUGAUCGGCCACACUGGGACUGAGACACGGCCCAGACUCCUACGGGAGGCAGCAGUAGGGAAUCUUCCGCAAUGGGCGAAAGCCUGACGGAGCAAUGCCGCGUGAGUGAUGAAGGUUUUCGGAUCGUAAAGCUCUGUUGCCAGGGAAGAACGCUUGGGAGAGUAACUGCUCUCAAGGUGACGGUACCUGAGAAGAAAGCCCCGGCUAACUACGUGCCAGCAGCCGCGGUAAUACGUAGGGGGCAAGCGUUGUCCGGAAUUAUUGGGCGUAAAGCGCGCGCAGGCGGUCAUUUAAGUCUGGUGUUUAAUCCCGGGGCUCAACCCCGGAUCGCACUGGAAACUGGGUGACUUGAGUGCAGAAGAGGAGAGUGGAAUUCCACGUGUAGCGGUGAAAUGCGUAGAUAUGUGGAGGAACACCAGUGGCGAAGGCGACUCUCUGGGCUGUAACUGACGCUGAGGCGCGAAAGCGUGGGG
rnacentral:rRNA from 1 species